UGGAUUUUUUAGUUGUCCUUCUCUUUUCUGUCUGUAAUGCUGUCUCCUUUGGGCAGUUUCCCCAGCACCUCCACUGGGUUUUAUGACUGGAUGGACAUUGAGACUUUUAUUCCUGUGGGUGUUGGGUUUCAUUUUUAUUCCUAAACCUUUAUGGUCUUCUGGUCCCUUGCAGGCUGAAGCAUAAGGACGGGCUGAUUUUCCUAAAGCAGAGGCCGGUGGAGGCUCUUUGAGCUGAGCAGGAGCUGGAGCUGAAGCGGGAGGCGGAGCCGGAGCCCCGACCCAUUGGUGUUUUAGUAGCAUGUUGUUUAAUCGCCACAUAGUUUUGAAUUUUCCAGCUUUCUUCAUGGGACACGGGUUCGAGCCCUGCUCUGGGAAGAUCCCACAUGCCGCGGAGCAACUAGGCCCGUGAGCCACAACUACUGAGCCUGCGUGUCUGGAGCCUGUGCUCUGCAACAAGAGGGGCCACGACAGUGAGAGGCCUGUGCACCGCGAUGAAGAGUGGGCCCUGCUCGCCGCAACUAGAGAAAGCCCUCGCACAGAAACGAAGACCGAACACAGCCAAAAAUAAAUAAAUAAAAUAAAAUAAAAUAAAUAAAUUUAAAAA